rnacentral:miRNA from 1 species
CAUUGAGUUCGUAUUUCCA